rnacentral:rRNA from 1 species
CCUACGGGAGGCAGCAGUGGGGAAUUUUGGACAAUGGGCGAAAGCCUGAUCCAGCAAUGCCGCGUGCAGGAAGAAGGCCUUCGGGUUGUAAACUGCUUUUGUACGGAACGAAACGGUCUGCUUUAAUACAGUGGGCUAAUGACGGUACCGUAAGAAUAAGCACCGGCUAACUACGUGCCAGCAGCCGCGGUAAUACGUAGGGUGCGAGCGUUAAUCGGAAUUACUGGGCGUAAAGCGUGCGCAGGCGGUUAUAUAAGACAGUUGUGAAAUCCCCGGGCUCAACCUGGGAAUUGCAUCUGUGACUGUAUAGCUAGAGUACGGUAGAGGGGGAUGGAAUUCCGCGUGUGGCAGUGAAAUGCGUAGAUAUGCGGAGGAACACCGAUGGCGAAGGCAAUCCCCUGGACCUGUACUGACGCUCAUGCACGAAAGCGUGGGGAGCAAACAGGAUUAGAUACCCUGGUAGUCCACGCCCUAAACGAUGUCAACUGGUUGUUGGGUGCAUUAGUACUCAGUAACGAAGCUAACGCGUGAAGUUGACCGCCUGGGGAGUACGGCCGCAAGGUUGAAACUCAAAUGAAUUGACGG